GGAAUAUUGCGCAAUGGGCGAAAGCCUGACGCAGCAACGCCGCGUGAGUGAUGAAGGCCUUCGGGUCGUAAAGCCCUGUCAGGAGGGACGAAACCUCGCCGGCCGAAUACGUCGGCCACCUGACGGUCCCUCCAAAGGAAGCACCGGCUACCUCCGUGCCAGCAGCCGCGGUAAUACGGAGGGUGCAAGCGUUGUUCGGAAUCACUGGGCGUAAAGCGCGUGUAGGCGGCUUCCUAAGUCUGGUGUGAAAUCCCGGGGCUCACCCCCGGAAGUGCACUGGAUACUGGGAAGCUAGAGUACCGGAGAGGAGGGUGGAAUUCCUGGUGUAGCGGUGAAAUGCGUAGAUAUCAGGAGGAACACCUGUGGCGAAGGCGGCCCUCUGGACGGAUACUGACGCUGAGACGCGAAAGCGUGGGGAGCAAA
rnacentral:rRNA from 1 species